UACAGAGGUCUCAAGCGUUGUUCGGAUUCAUUGGGCGUAAAGCGCGCGUAGGCGGUUCGGUAAGUCGGGUGUGAAAACACGAGGCUCAACCUCGUGCGUGCAUCCGAUACUGCCGGACUAGAGGUAGGUAGGGGAGAUCGGAAUUCCUGGUGUAGCGGUGAAAUGCGCAGAUAUCAGGAGGAACACCGGUGGCGAAGGCGGAUCUCUGGGCCUUACCUGACGCUCAGGCGCGAAAGCUAGGGGAGCGAACAGG
rnacentral:rRNA from 1 species